UGACCUCGGAUCAGGUAGGAAUACCCGCUGAACUUAAGCAUAUCAU
rnacentral:rRNA from 6 species